CGUGCACCAGUGGGGUCCCUCGGCCUGGUCUGCGCCUUCUCGCAAUCCGGGACCCCUCAGGGGACAUCAGAGAGCCGGGUUUGGCCUGAUCCCCGCAGGCCAGGCCGAGGGACCCCACCGGUGCACG
rnacentral:pre_miRNA from 1 species